AUGCGAGUCAUUGUAGCAAUACAAGGCAGACGGCUCAGUAACGCGUAGUCAAUCUACCCUAUGGACGGGAAUAACCUCGGGAAACUGAGAAUAAUGCCCGAUAGAACAUUAUGCCUGGAAUGGUUUAUGUUUCAAAUGAUUUAUCGCCAUAGGAUGGGACUGCGGCCUAUCAGUUUGUUGGUGAGGUAAUGGCCCACCAAGACUAUUACAGGUACGGGCUCUGAGAGGAGUAGCCCGGAGAUGGGUACUGAGACACGGACCCAGGCCCUAUGGGGCGCAGCAGGCGAGAAAACUUUGCAAUGUGCGAAAGCACGACAAGGUUAAUCCGAGUGGUUUCUGCUAAAGAAACCUUUUGUCAGUCCUAGAAACACUAACGAAUAAGGGGUGGGCAAGUUCUGGUGUCAGCCGCCGCGGUAAAACCAGCACCUCAAGUGGUCAGGAUGAUUAUUGGGCCUAAAGCAUCCGUAGCUCGUUUUGUAAGUUUUCGGUUAAAUCCAUGCGCUUAACGUAUGGGCUGCCGGGAAUACUGCAUAACUAGGAAGUGGGAGAGGUAGACGGUACUCGGGAGGAAGGGGUAAAAUCCUUUGAUCUCUUGAUGACCACCUGUGGCGAAGGCGGUCUACCAGAACACGUUCGACGGUGAGGGAUGAAAGCUGGGGGAGCAAACCGGAUUAGAUACCCGGGUAGUCCCAGCUGUAAACUAUGCAAACUCAGUGAUGCAUUGGCUUAUGGCCAAUGCAGUGCUGCAGGGAAGCCGUUAAGUUUGCCGCCUGGGAAGUACGUACGCAAGUAUGAAACUUAAAGGAAUUGGCGGGGGAGCACCACAAGGGGUGAAGCCUGCGGUUCAAUUGGAGUCAACGCC
rnacentral:rRNA from 1 species